CCCAGGAGGUGUGGGGGGAGAGAGAGAGAGAGAGAGAGAGAGAGGCGUAAUGGUGGCGUCGUGCUAAAGGUCGGAAUACCUCUAUGUUGCUGAACAACGCGCACGUAGCCUGUAUCUUAGCCGUCCUCCUCGCACGGGCGGAAGAGCGUUCCUUUAUACUCUUCCGCUGUCGCCUGAGUGGUGGAAUUUUCCCGACGGACUCCUCAGUCGCCGGCCGGUGUAGCUUCGACGGUCCCGCCCCACCGUGACGGUCCUUCCAUCUGAUGGUGUGUUUGGCACGAGGCUGUCCGCUUUGUGCCUGCGCGGCAGUCGGGGAAGGAGCGACUUUCUUAUUAUGUGCGCCGGCUGUCGGUCCGUCGCGACAGGAAAAGAGCUGGGUGCAUUGUUAUGAGUGAAUCGUUACUGCCUCAACGGGGGGAGGUGUUCACCCGGAGGCGGGAGACCAGGAGCUGAAGCUGACUACAAGAACAUGUGUCCCCCGAUCCCCGAGGAUGCUCGGUCCUCCAAUGACGAGGUCGUGGGGAACACGUGAAGGUCCGGUACGAAGCUGCUGUCAACGGGGGGUCUGCCCUCAAGAGAGAGAACUCUCGUCUAUCGUAGAACUCUCAAGUCAAUGGCAGACCAGGAUGAGAAGAUGUGAUGAUCCAUACCCUGGGUGUAAGUGCUAGCCUAACCUCUCCCCAAAGGGUGGCUCUCUACAGUACGUAAAGUGCUUGAGCUGAAGACAACCAGCAUACAGAGAGAUACUGCCAACAGAGACUGUCAAGUUGUAUUGUUAUAAAAUGUUUGUGAUAUGACCCGUGACAUGUGAUGUGCAACAAAGUGUGACACACUCAGGCACGAGAAAAGUAUAAUGGUGCUGUCGAGCACAUAGUGCUGGCAGGGUGGGAAUUUUUCCUCAUAGGAGGUUUUUUCACCCACCCCUGACUGCGAAGGAUUGGGGUUUGUUUUUUUGGGAGGAAGCAAGACUCUGCAGGUCCCGACAAAUACAAAACUGUGGGCUGACGGGCCCAGUUGAGAAAGGUAGGGACAUGUAGAUCCAAUCCUGAUCAGUGUAGCAUAGAAGUGGUUACUGUAAGGGACCCAUUUGAUUACGAGGAUGAGCGCAGGAAUUAUGGCUUUGUUAGAGUAAUCCUCCGACAGCUAGCGGGGGACAGCCAUGGGGUGCGGCAGAAACAGUUUCUCCACAGAUACCCGCUUAAUUAAGGUAGUUUAUGAGGCUUUAUAGCCUCAGAUGGGGGAAUGUUGUGGAUAAAAAUGACAUGAAAUAAACAGGAGGGAGACCUAGUAUGAGUAAUAUGUAAUUUUAUUGAAAAUUCACAGGACUGGUUGGAUUCACACUUUAAGAUCUUUAAGAGUAACACACUAUGGUUUAUUAGUCACAGAGAAAUAUAAGAGCUGAGGAGGGCAGACUGAGAAACACACACACUCUCAUACAGUCAAGGGCAGGCGUGCAGACAUAACACACACAAAGGCCCAAUGCACACAUAACAUUGAGAUAACAACAUGAGACUAAGGUCUCUCUAUAAUUGUUUUCUCUCUCUCGCACUUUCAAUCCUAAUGGUAGUCAGAAAGUCCUCUUUCAAAACAUAAUGGUAAAUUUGAUAAGCCUCUUUUUAAACAUCAUGGUAAUGUAGAUGAGCUCUUUUUUAACCCUAUUGGUAUUGAUAUAAUCUUUCUAAAAUAUAUUGGUUAUCUACUGUGUAAAUACAGUAUAAAUACUGGAGCUUGAGCUCCAGGUGUCAGAUCACUUCUGAGAAUUCUCAUCGGUGUGGAUCUCGUGUGGUGGAACGGAACCAAUAAAUCUGGACCCUUGCUUCUUCUCA